GAUGAACGCUGGCGGCGUGCCUAAUACAUGCAAGUCGAGCGAACGGACGAGAAGUGUGCUUCUCUGAUGGUAGCGUCGGACGGGGGAGUAAGACGUUGAGAACCGACUUAUAAGGCUGGGAUAACGUCGGGAAACCGGAGCUAAGAGCGGAUAAUAGUUUGAACCGCAUGGUUCAAGAGUGAAAGACGGUCUUUCUGUCACGUAUAGAUGGAUCCGCGCUGCAUUAGCUAGUUGGUAAGCUAACGGCUUACCAAGGCAACGAUGCAUAGCCGACCUGAGCGCGUCAUUCACUACACUGGAACUGAGACACGGUCCCGACUCCUACGGGAGGAAGCAGCCGGGAAUCUUCCGGGAUGCAGGAGAGCCUGACGGUGCACAGCGGCGUGAAUGCUGAUCCUCUUAGGCUCGUAAAGCUCUGUCAUUCGGAGAGAUCAUAUGUGUAAGUAACUGUGAACAUAUUGACGGUACCUAAUCAGAAAGCCACGGCUAACUACGUG
rnacentral:rRNA from 1 species